CAGUAGCCACGGUAAUACGAAGGGUGCAAGCGUUAAUCGGAAUUACUGGGCGUAAAGCGUGCGUAGGCGGUGAGUUAAGUCUGCUGUGAAAUCCCCGGGCUCAACCUGGGAAUGGCAGUGGAUACUGGCUCGCUAGAGUGUGUCAGAGGAUGGUGGAAUUCCCGGUGUGGCGGUGAAAUGCGUAGAGAUCGGGAGGAACAUCAGUGGCGAAGGCGGCCAUCUGGGACAACACUGACGCUGAGGCACGAAAGCGUGGGGAGCAAACAGGAUUAGAGACCCCCGUAGUCCCUGUCUCUUAUAC
rnacentral:rRNA from 1 species